GAAAGAAUAGCUGGGAUGAGAUCAGGGCUGAGCACUGGGGGAUGUUCUCCCAGGCCAGACCGGCAAGAAAAUGCACAACCCUGUGCUGCUGAGUGACCCUGUGGCUGUCUCUGGAGGACCAGCACCUCCCAGGGAUCGGUGGCACACUGGGGUGACACCUCACAUGUGUGGAUUCUGUGAGCCUACCUGUGCGUCUGUGGCAUCGGUGGAGCUGUUCCCGCUCACAGCAUCCUGGCAGGGGUCACUGGAGACAAGGCCACAAAGGGAGACGGACACAGCGGAGGAGGAGCUGGGGAGAUAAGACACGGUGUCUCACUGGAGCUACCAAGACCUGAGCUGAGGACACCACAGACAUCUCCUGAGGGUAAGGCAGAUGUGGAAGGGAGGAACCGCUGCCUCCAGCUGCUUUUCUCCCACAUCUGCACAGGGAGCCCAGAGCAACACCACUCCUGGGCACCAGCUACCGCCUGCAGAGGUGAAAGGAGAUGCAAUGCCUGUCUCCCAGAGGGAAUAUGGGCACAAGCCUCUGGAGCUAGCCUUCAUCCCAGCCAGAAACCUGCCCCUGUCCCUCACGUUCCUCCACUGCCUUGUCAACACUUCCCAUGCAUAGCUUUAUCUUGCAUCCCACAAGCAAUUACUUUUUAAAAUUGCUUCCUGUGAAACACUCUGCUGUGGAGUUCUUUUAAGAAAACAUUACUUGUGCCUUUCACCUCUCUCCGUGCAGUGUUCUGCUCAAAGAGCGUUGACAGACGGUAGGGGCUGCUUUAAGGGAGGUGUUUUGCAGCAGCCCUGCAGAUCCUGCUAACGGAGGUGCUUUGCAGGUCUGCACCUAAUGAGUAACUCAGCCAGCUUUCCCUCGGCUGGUACCUUUUAAAACAUUCCCGGCGGUGAUGGCUCAAAACAAUAAAUAAUUUUGGGUUUUUUUCUGUCCUUCCUUUGCACAGUAAGAUGUCCUGUACUUGAGAGUGACCCUCCACAAUAAAGCUACUCACAUAUGAAGAGAGGGUAAGAGCAGCUUUUUGGCUAAUUCUUCCAAGUCUUCAGUCUUUUUAAAUAUUCCCUCCGCUCCUUCCAAACUGUCUGCUCCUGCUCUACCUGUUGUAUUUAUUUCUUCAUUUAGCCUUUGAUUAAUUGGUUCUUCAGUCUCCUAAACCUAAUUUCCCCUUCCUGAUGGGGUCCAUAAUCCUUUCUCCUGGAGUCCCACUUGCUGUCCUCUUUCUUUGCUUUCAAUUUGCUUAAGAUUCUUGGUCUUCUGCAGUGCAGAUGAUAAAAAGAAGAGGAACUGAGAGAAGGGGUGCAGCAAUUCAAUAACAGUAUAAUGAAACAGUA